rnacentral:rRNA from 1 species
ANGCAGCAGUGAGGAAUUUUGCGCAAUGGGGGCAACCCUGACGCAGCAACGCCGCGUGAGUGAAGAAGGCCUUUGGGUCGUAAAGCUCUGUCAACUGGGAAGAAAUUAUAAUUGUUUAAUAGAUGAUAAUAUUGACGGUACCACUGGAGGAAGCGCCGGCUAACUCCGUGCCAGCAGCCGCGGUAACACGGGGGGCGCAAGCGUUAUUCGGAAUUAUUGGGCGUAAAGGGCGCGCAGGCGGUCUUGUCCGUCAGGUGUGAAAGCUCGGGGCUCAACCCCGGAAGUGCACUUGAAACAGCAAGACUUGAAUACGGGAGAGGAGAGAGGAAUUCCUGGUGUAGAGGUGAAAUUCGUAGAUAUCAGGAGGAACACCGAUGGCGAAGGNNNCUCUCUGGACCGAUAUUGACGCUGAGGCGCGAAGGCGUGGGUAGCGAACGCGAUUAGAUACCCCGGUAGUCCACG